rnacentral:rRNA from 1 species
GUGCCAGCAGCCGCGGUAAAACGUAGGAGGCGAGCGUUAUCCGGAUUUACUGGGCGUAAAGCGCGUGCAGGCGGUUCGGCAAGUUGGAUGUGAAAGCUCCCGGCUCAACUGGGAGAGGUCGUUCAAUACUACCGAACUUGAGGGCAUCAGAGGAAGGUGGAAUUCCGGGUGUAGUGGUGAAAUGCGUAGAUAUCCGGAGGAACACCAGUGGCGAAGGCGACCUUCUGGGAUGUUCCUGACGCUCAGACGC